GAUGAACGCUGGCGGCGUGCCUAAUACAUGCAAGUCGAGCGAACAGACGAGGAGCUUGCUCCUCUGACGUUAGCGGCGGACGGGUGAGUAACACGUGGAUAACCUACCUAUAAGACUGGGAUAACUUCGGGAAACCGGAGCUAAUACCGGAUAAUAUAUUGAACCGCAUGGUUCAAUAGUGAAAGACGGUUUUGCUGUCACUUAUAGAUGGAUCCGCGCCGCAUUAGCUAGUUGGUAAGGUAACGGCUUACCAAGGCAACGUUGCGUAGCCGACCUGAGAGGGUGAUCGGCCACACUGGAACUGAGACACGGUCCAGACUCCUACGGGAGGCAGCAGUAGGGAAUCUUCCGCAAUGGGCGAAAGCUUGACGGAGCAACGCCGCGUGAGUGAUGAAGGUCUUCGGAUCGUAAAACUCUGUUAUUAGGGAAGAACAAAUGUGUAAGUAACUAUGCACGUCUUGACGGUACCUAAUCAGAAAGCCACGGCUAACUACGU
rnacentral:rRNA from 1 species